rnacentral:lncRNA from 1 species
UUUUGUGCGGUGAUGAAGCAAUAUUGUGGACUAGAGUUUCUGAUACUGGGCUCUUCUUCCCAUUUUAUUUUGACGACAAACCCUUGGCUGUCUGAGCACUCUACUUUCAUCUUAUUCUUAAUUUCUUAGACUGUUUUUUUAAUACUCUGAGUUUAUUUAUUGUUUUUAAAAUUAGGUUAUAAGAGCUAAUGAUGAGAAAUACAAUUAUCUUAGCGGAUUUCAGUGAGAUUUUUAAUCAAUGAUCUGAUUGUUACACACACUGAAAGCUCUUUAUAAUUUUUUUAAUAAAAUGGGAUGUAAAUAAUAAUAAUAGCAGUGAUGAGGCAAAACACAUGAGGAUGUGUUUAGGGAAGUGGACAAUACAAUGGAAGUUGUGUUGCCGUGAUCCCCAAUUUAAACGACUUCUCCUUCCACUGAGCUUUUUUUAUUUAUUUUCCAACUUUUAUUCAAAAUUACAGUUUUUGUCUAAUUUGUUUUACAUAUAUAUAUUUUUUGGAAGAGAUAUGGUGCGUCCAUUUACCAAUUCUGGAGGAUAAAUUGGUUCCUCACGGUGUAAUGGCUCGGACGCCAUAUUAAUAUUUGUGGCCAUCCUGAUCAAUGGGUCCUUAAUACCAUUGCAUCCUGGAAACACCUCAUACAUUU